ACACAUGCAAGUCGAACGGAGAAUUUAGGUUUACUUGAAUUCUUAGUGGCGGACGGGUGAGUAACACGUGAGCAACCUGCCUUUGAGAGAGGGAUAAUUUCUGGAAACGGAUUGUAAUACCUCAUAACAUAGCGAAAUCGCAUGAUUAUGCUAUCAAAGAUUUAUCACUCAAAGAUGGGCUCGCGUCUGAUUAGAUAGUUGGUGAGGUAACGGCUCACCAAGUCGACGAUCAGUAGCCGGACUGAGAGGUUGAACGGCCACAUUGGGACUGAGACACGGCCCAGACUCCUACGGGAGGCAGCAGUGGGGAAUAUUGCACAAUGGGGGAAACCCUGAUGCAGCGAUGCCGCGUGGAGGAAGAAGGUUUUCGGAUUGUAAACUCCUGUCUUAAAGGACGAUAAUGACGGUACUUUAGGAGGAAGCUCCGGCUAACUACGUGCCAGCAGCCGCGGUAAUACGUAGGGAGCGAGCGUUGUCCGGAAUUACUGGGUGUAAAGGGAGCGUAGGCGGGAUUGCAAGUCAGAUGUGAAAGGCGGAGGCUUAACCUCCGAGCUGCAUUUGAAACUG
rnacentral:rRNA from 1 species